rnacentral:misc_RNA from 1 species
GAAAUGCGAUAAGUAAUGUGAAUUGCAGAAUUCCGUGAAUCAUCGAAUCUUUGAACGCACAUUGCGCCCUCUGGUAUUCCGGGGGCAUGCCUGUCCGAGCGUCAUUGCGAACCCCUCAAGUACGGCUUGUGUGAUGGGCCCUCCCGCGUCUUGGUCGUCAAGACGGGCCCGAAAUGCAGUGGCGGCUUCGCGGUUAUCCGAUCAGCCAGAGCGUAUGGGGACUCUCUCUCUUGUCACACGCCCGCGGCGCGGACCGACGCCUGUCGACCUUUAUUCAUCUUCUCUCGGUUGACCUCGGAUCAGGUAGGGAUACCCGCUGAACUUAAGC